AUGGCUCGGGCACUGGUAGGCUGGUGCUUCUUUCUGGUGGCGGCAUUUGCGGUAGGCGUCGUGGGCCAGCAUCCUCCCUACACCCCUCCUCCUUCCCACCACACCCCGCCUCCCCAGUCCCAGGUCCCCUCCUACGCCAACGGCCAACCCUACCGUGUCAACUACAACAAACCCAACCGCAUCUUCACCUGCGAAGACGACUGGGGCGAUACAUGCAUCGCGCAAUGCCCGGACCUCUGUCCCAAGUCCUGCUCCAUGUCAUGCAGCUACUGCGAGACCACAUGCAGUACAUCGAGGUGUGUGGAGUUUCCAGGCACUUCGUGUGGCGACCCUAGCUUCACCGGUGGCGACGGUGUCACCUACUACUUCCAUGGCAGGAAGGAUCAGGAUUUCUGCAUCGUCUCCGACGUCGAUCUCCACAUCAACGCACACUUUAUCGGCAACCACAACCCCGUCAAUGAGAGGAACUUCACAUGGAUACAGGCCAUCAGUGUCACCUUCGGCGACCACCGCCUCUUUGUAGGCGCUCGCAAGGCUGUCGAGUGGGAGGAGGAUGAGGACCACAUUGAGAUAACCUUCAAUGGGGAGCCCAUCAAUAUAGACACCGCCAACAAUGCCCAGUGGGUGUCCAAGGUCCAAUCCGGUCUAUCCGUGCAACGCACAGACAUUGUCAACUCCAUCAAGGUGGAUUUCGCCAAUGUGUUCAGCAUCUCGGCCAACGUCGUGCCGAUCACGGACGAGGACUCUAAGAUCCACAACUACGGCAAGACCGCGAAGGACAAUCUCGUGCACCUUGACCUUCGCUUCAAGUUUCAUUCCCUCACCGACGUUGUCGAUGGCGUGCUCGGCCAAACCUACCGGUCUAACUACGUCAAUAAGAUGAAUGUCACAGCCAAGAUGCCCAUCAUGGGUGGCACGCCAAAGUACUUCUCAUCGGGCCUCUUCUCGACGGAUUGUGCGGUCUCCAAGUUUCAGCACAAUGGUGGCGCAAGCCAUGUUCGUGCCAUGGCUGCAUAA
rnacentral:rRNA from 1 species